rnacentral:rRNA from 1 species
AUUGAACGCUGGCGGCAGGCCUAACACAUGCAAGUCGAGCGGAGCGGCGGACGGGGGCGUAAUGCCUAGGAAUCUGCCUGGUAGUGGUGGAUAACGUCCGGAAACGGGCGCUGAUACCGCAUACUAUCAGAUGAGCCUAGGUCGGAUUGGCUUGUUGGGGGGGUAAAGGCAUACCAAGGCGACGAUCCGUAACUGGUCUGAGAGGAUGACCAGUCACACUGGAACUGAGACACGGUCCAGACGCCUACGGGAGGCAGCAGUGGGGAAUAUUGGACAAUGGGCGAAAGCCUGAUCCAGCCAUGCCGCGUGUGUGAAGAAGGUCUUCGGAUUGUAAAGCACUUUAAGUUGGGAGGCGUUACCAACAGAAUAAGCACCGGCUAACUUCGUGCCAGCAGCCGCGGUAAUUC